rnacentral:lncRNA from 1 species
CAUCUUUCAGACGCUUAUUGCAAGCGAUGCGGUGAGAGGUAGUGAUUGAAAUGGAGAUUGGAUCAUUUGGUUAAUUUACAUGUUGUUUAUGAACUUAAAUAUUAUUAGAGAUCAGCCAUUUAGGAACUUCAAGGCAAUCUACGUAUUCUACUUUGUACCUUUUUUAGAAAACCGGUCACCUACAGUGUUUUUGGCCCCAUUGCUACAUGGUAAUUAUGUUUUCAAAUCAUUCACCUUCGCGGCUGAGACAUCUUCAAAGCUUCGGCGUUUUGUUGAAGAUGUCUCCGAUUAUAAGCUACUUUCCCGGUUGCAGUGACUAGAAACUUAUCCUAAAUUCCCUAAAUCCAUGAGCUUUGAAAUAGGCCACAAAUAUUUUUCAUCACAAGAAGUUCAUAGUUCAAGAGGAUCUACAGUAGUUUUGGACUUGCAUUUGAUCAGCUUUGGAAUUGGAUCACCUUUAGAAUCAGCUUUGGGAUUACAUUGAGAGCCCUCAGCAAAAUAAGCCAUUGUUCAAGUUAUAGCACAAAAUUUGUAGAUCCAUGAUUCUUCUCAAACACCUAGACACUCUGGAAUAUUUGGCAGAAUGGGGACAAGUGUAAAAAUAUUUCAAAUGUGAGAUGUGUGGAAAAGGCUUACAGAAUGUGCAGGCCUGUAACACAGAUUUUGAACUUGGAGCUUCUCAGGUUGGCUAUUUCAAGGCAGUAAUAACUAGGCUCUUCUGUUCUUUUCAACAACAAGAUGGGAUAAAUUUAUUGAUUAAAAUUAAGGAACCCAAAGAUUCCUUACAGCUGGUGAUGUUAGUAUGAUCUUCAAGCAUCCAUCUUCAUGUAUUCAAAAACCAACAGCCCUUUGGUUAGGGAAACAGAUGUUUAGUCUAAUUCUUUGAUCUAGCACUUGGGAAUCACAAUUAAUGAUUCAAUGGUGAUCAAUUUGAGAAUUAAGGGAAAAGAAUAUUUGAAAAAGAAAUUUUGAUUUUUGCAUAAAGGAUGUAUUUCUUUUGUUGAGAGGUGUUCUGUUGUAAUUCAGAGAUGCCAGUCGGUUGCGUUGAUAAAUCUUCAAUUAUUUCGCUAUCCAGGUGGAAACUCCGUCUUGUAGAUUCUUAUUACACGGUGAACUGAGGAUUCUCCAACGUCAUUGAAGAUGUCACACCUGUAAAACACUGCUGGAAUAAAAACGGAUACUUCGGGACAAUGGUAAGACUAAAUGCGAUGAAAAAAUCGUCUUCUCACCGUAAGUCAGCCGGCCACGAUUAUCAAGGAAUUCGGUAUACAAUAAAAAGUCAUAGCAAAAGUGACUAUCGUCCGUCGCCUUGUUUUCCGAUCCGAACUUAAGAGUUGUCACAGUGAAAUCUUUUGCAUCAAGAAAAACGGGUUGACUUAUAUGAAAGGAGUCCGUUUUUAUAUUGACUUUGUUAAAAGCUUGCAAUAGAAGCUCCUUUCAGAAUUUUUACGGGAAAAAGCCGGAUGAUGAAUUUAAAUGUCAUAUGAAUCAAAAUAGUGGAUUUGAAAAGGUUUCUGCUUGAGGCAAGUUACCGAAAAAAUAAUAAUGAUCGGAAGAACGAAACCGAAUUUCCAUUCUCUAGUCGCAUUCCCGUGUAAUUACGGUAUUAAUAAUGUAAAGAAUUGUAGCGCGUAUCUGGGCUCCCUUUUCUGUAUCCCCUUUUCCCCUUGACUCAUAAUAAACCAGUAGGGGGUCAUGCUCCUACUGUAGGUGAGAUGGCUCUGAUCAGAAAGAGGACGUGAGGGUCCUCUUAGUUCGAUGAUAUGGUAAUGGAGGGCUAUGUCGCUACUCCAAAAUCCGAAUUUAAGGUUAAUCGCUCCUGUAAAAAUGUUCCGUUUCUUUAGCUCUUCUUCCGGCUUCUCUUAGCCACGUACCGGGUAAUCUCUCUGGUUGGUCAAUUGAGGCAGUAUCUUCCCCUGCCUUGGUUGACGGCAACUUUUGAAACGCAUGUAUUGCUGUUUAAAAGUUGCAAAAUCAUGUGGAGAAUUGUAAUUUUAUUUAUUUUUAUUUUAUUGUUUUUCAAAUAAUUCUUUGUCUUGUGUUACGAUCUCCACACAAGUGCUUUAUGCGUUAACCUUUGAUAUUCUGUGUUGGACUUAAUGAAAUCGCUACUGCUUCAAGACAUGUUAAUUACUGGAUGUAAGAAAAAGCUCAGUUUCACAGUAAGAAGAAUUUUAACUUGCGAAUCGAUCCCUAAAUUUUCAGCGUGGUAUGCCGAUGCUCAACCAUAGAAUCCUGUUACAUUUCGCGUGGCUUCGGACUGAGGAUGGCUGCUGAAACGAACGUCUCUCUUCUUGAAAUUUCACCACCGAUUCCGUGUGUUUUGAGCUAAAUCUUGUGAAUUCAAUCAAUGCAGAGUUAUUCAAGGAGGACCAUGGUUUGGCUUCGCUAGCACGUUUUUCAUCUCUGUUAGUCUUAUAGAUCCAUUUUGUACCAAAGGUGAUACGUGAAAAAAGUAGUUCUUUAUAAUCUAUUUCCCUAUCUAAAUCUCUUGGAUUCUUGGAGGUGUCAUCAGGUGAUGUUAGAAUUUGUUGUUAAUAGUUUAAGGUUUUGUAAUUGUGCUUUUAGGUCUUCGGAAUGUACUGAUGUACUAUGGUGGCCACAAAAUCACUCAGUGACUUGGUUCAAUCCAGGAUUUAGUUUUUUCAAAAGUGGUAUACAGUUUUAAUUUGCAGAGAUCCUGGAGGUAUCUGAUGUGUUGCAUAGCGUUGGAGUCGCUUGGUGAGAGAAAGGAAUGAAACAAAUGUUAUGUUGUCAGUGUAAAUAAAACAUAUCCAGUAUGA